GCGAUACAGGGUGACAGCCCCGUACACAAAAAUGCACAUGCUGUGAGCUCGAUGAGUAGGGCGGGACACGUGGUAUCCUGUCUGAAUAUGGGGGGACCAUCCUCCAAGGCUAAAUACUCCUGACUGACCGAUAGUGAACCAGUACCGUGAGGGAAAGGCGAAAAGAACCCCGGCGAGGGGAGUGAAAAAGAACCUGAAACCGUGUACGUACAAGCAGUGGGAGCACAGAGCAAUCUGUGUGACUGCGUACCUUUUGUAUAAUGGGUCAGCGACUUAUAUUCUGUAGCAAGGUUAACCGAAUAGGGGAGCCGAAGGGAAACCGAGUCUUAACUGGGCGUUAAGUUGCAGGGUAUAGACCCGAAACCCGGUGAUCUAGCCAUGGGCAGGUUGAAGGUUGGGUAACACUAACUGGAGGACCGAACCGACUAAUGUUGAAAAAUUAGCGGAUGACUUGUGGCUGGGGGUGAAAGGCCAAUCAAACCGGGAGAUAGCUGGUUCUCCCCGAAAGCUAUUUAGGUAGCGCCUCGUGAAUUCAUCUCCGGGGGUAGAGCACUGUUUCGGCAAGGGGGUCAUCCCGACUUACCAACCCGAUGCAAACUGCGAAUACCGGAGAAUGUUAUCACGGGAGACACACGGCGGGUGCUAACGUCCGUCGUGAAGAGGGAAACAACCCAGACCGCCAGCUAAGGUCCCAAAGUCAUGGUUAAGUGGGAAACGAUGUGGGAAGGCCCAGACAGCCAGGAUGUUGGCUUAGAAGCAGCCAUCAUUUAAAGAAAGCGUAAUAGCUCACUGGUCGAGUCGGCCUGCGCGGAAGAUGUAACGGGGCUAAACCAUG
rnacentral:rRNA from 2 species